UACGGGGGGGGGCAAGCGUUGUUCGGAAUUACUGGGCGUAAAGGGCUCGUAGGCGGCCAACUAAGUCGGAUGUGAAAUCCCCAGGCUCAACCUGGGAACUGCAUCCGAUACUGGAUGGCUUGAAUUCGGGAGAGGGAUGCAGAAUUCCAGGUGUAGCGGUGAAAUGCGUAGAUAUCUGGAGGAAUACCGGUGGCGAAGGCGGCAUCCUGGACCGACAUUGACGCUGAACGGCGAAAGCUAGGGGAGCAAACGGG
rnacentral:rRNA from 1 species